UACGUAGGGUGCGAGCGUUGUCCGGAAUUACUGGGCGUAAAGAGCUCGUAGGUGGUUUGUCGCGUUGUACGUGAAAACUCACAGCUUAACUGUGGGCGUGCGGGCGAUACGGGCACACUGGAGUACUGCAGGGGAGACUGGAAUUCCUGGUGUAGCGGUGGAAUGCGCAGAUAUCAGGAGGAACACCGGUGGCGAAGGCGGGUCUCUGGGCAGUAACUGACGCUGAGGAGCGAAAGCGUGGGGAGCGAACAGG
rnacentral:rRNA from 1 species